rnacentral:rRNA from 1 species
UUCGCAAUGCCCGAAAGGGUGACGAAGCGACGCCGCGUGUGGGAAGAAGGCCUUCGGGUCGUAAACCACUGUCGGGAGUUAAGAAAUGCAAGAAUGUUAAUAGCGUUUUUGCUUGACUAAGGCUCCGGAGGAAGCCACGGCUAACUCUGUGCCAGCAGCCGCGGUAAUACAGAGGCGGCAAGCGUUGUUCGGAAUUAUUGGGCGUAAAGAGCACGUAGGCGGCUAUAUAAGUCGGUUGUGAAAGCCUUCCGCUCAACGGGAGAACAGCAUCCGAUACUGUGUGGCUUGAGUGUGGGAGGGGAGAGCGGAACUUCUGGUGGAGCGGUGAAAUGCGUAGAUAUCAGAAGGAACGCCGGCGGCGAAAGCGGCUCUCUGGCCCAUAACUGACGCUGAGUGUGCGAAAGCUAGGGGAGCAAACGGGAUUAGAUACCCCGGUAGUCCUAGCCGUAAACGAUGGGCACUAAGUAGAGGGGUUU